AACGAACGCUGGCGGCAGGCCUAACACAUGCAAGUCGAGCGAGGACUUCGGUCCUAGCGGCGGACGGGUGAGUAACGCGUGGGAACGUGCCCUUUGCUUCGGAAUAGCCCUGGGAAACUGGGAGUAAUACCGGAUGAGCCCUUUGGGGGAAAGAUUUAUCGGCGAAGGAUCGGCCCGCGUUGGAUUCGGUAGUUGGUGGGGUAAUGGCCUACCAAGCCGACGAUCCAUAGCUGGUUUGAGAGGAUGAUCAGCCACACUGGGACUGAGACACGGCCCAGACUCCUACGGGAGGCAGCAGUGGGGAAUCUUAGACAAUGGGGGAAACCCUGAUCUAGCCAUGCCGCGUGAGCGAUGAAGGCCUUAGGGUUGUAAAGCUCUUUCAGCUGGGAAGAUAAUGACGGUACCAGCAGAAGAAGCCCCGGCUAACUCCGUG
rnacentral:rRNA from 1 species